rnacentral:rRNA from 1 species
GAUGAACGCUGACGGCGUGCCUAAUACAUGCAAGUCGAGCGAACGGACGAGAAGCUUGCUUCUCUGAUGUUAGCGGCGGACGGGUGAGUAACACGUGGAUAACCUACCUAUAAGACUGGGAUAACUUCGGGAAACCGGAGCUAAUACCGGAUAAUAUUUUGAACCGCAUGGUUCAAAAGUGAAAGACGGUCUUGCUGUCACUUAUAGAUGGAUCCGCGCUGCAUUAGCUAGUUGGUAAGGUAACGGCUUACCAAGGCAACGAUGCAUAGCCGACCUGAGAGGGUGAUCGGCCACACUGGAACUGAGACACGGUCCAGACGCCUACGGGAGGCAGCAGUAGGGAAUCUUCCGCAAUGGGCGAAAGCCUGACGGAGCAACGCCGCGUGAGUGAUGAAGGUCUUCGGAUCGUAAAACUCUGUUAUUAGGGAAGAACAUAUGUGUAAGUAACUGUGCACAUCUUGACGGUACCUAAUCAGAAAGCCACGGCUAACUACGUG